rnacentral:tRNA from 1 species
GCGCAGCCUGGCCGGUUAGAGCGCAUGUAUCACACACAUGGGGUCGGGGGUUCGAGUCCUCCGCGCCGCA